GACGUAGGGGGCCAGCGUUGCUCGGAAUUACUGGGCGUAAAGGGUUCGUAGGCGGUGCGGCAAGUUGGGAGUGAAAUCUCUGGGCUUAACCCAGAGGCUGCUUCCAAAACUGCCGUGCUAGAGUGCGAGAGAGGCCAGUGGAAUUGCAGGUGUAGCGGUGGAAGGCGUAGAGAUCUGCAGGAACACACGUGGCGAAGGCGGCUCGCUGGACCGCAACUGACGCUGAGGAACGAAAGCGAGGGGAGCAAACAGG
rnacentral:rRNA from 1 species